AUUAACAACAUGACAUAUCUGAGAGCGGGCUAGAGAUAUUUGCUUGAGGCAUAAGCCUGCUGAUCUUCUUACGAAAUCUAUACAAUGCCUGAACCAGCUUUUAUUUGGUAUCCUGGGCAAAUGUCAGAUAGGCUAGGGUCUGGCAUUAAUAUGCUUGCAGUCAGUGUUGUGUCCACCUGCAUCCCACGGAAUGAAGUUCUCUGUGUGCAGUGGUCCUGUACCUGUAACCCUGCAAUGCAAAACAUUACAGCCACUAGAGGUGCUUCUGCAGCUCUUACCACGAAAAUCUCAGUCACGUGACGUGGAAGCCACCAUAGGACGGCAUUGUUUUAUUCCUAUGGGGAAGCUUGGAUGCGUGCGCGGUGCUCAUCGUGCGUGCGCAAAGGGUUCCCAAUGCUAAUCUUCGAAGAGCAUUGGAUUGGAUAUCUGCGGAGAAAGCCAUGCCUCCACCGUGGCAUCAAAGGAGGCAGAGAGGUAAGCAGCACAGAGUGAUCCUCAGCAGUGGAAAAGGGUGUGGAAAUCAUACAUUUUGUUAUGUUACAGGGCAAACAGGGAGGCAGAGGGGGGAAGAUUUUAAAUAGGAACAGACACACAAAAGUAUUAGAGUUCCUUUAAGACUGUUCUUGAUUUAUACUUUUCACAGAAACAAGAUCAGUCACAUGCUUGGCCAUGUCAAUUUUAGUUAAUCCACCCCACCUCAGGGCAGGGAGUUAUGUGACGCAAACGAAAUAAUGACAGAGUAUGGUUAGCUCUGCUUUCAAUGAUAACGAAAGGAGACUUUGCAUUAGGCAAUGUAAAAAUGUCACAGAAUCACUCUGAGCACCAUAACAACUUUAUAAAAAUGAAGAUAUGUUGUAAUGAGGUCCCUGACCCCAGCAUACCUUCAUGAGUAAACUGUUCAUUAAGAUUUUCUGUCCGACAGUGGUCAGCUUUGCCCCCUCCACAUCUGUUUGAGUCUGAGGCUUGAAUCAGGAAGCCACAGGCUGGGCAUCGCUGAUAGACAAGGCGACAGCUGAAAUAAACCCCUGAAGGCAAACUUGUGCCAGGCACCUCCUGGCACCAUAACAACUUCAUUCCAAUUACUUUUUUAUGCUAUUCACAGUGUUCCUUUACGUUUUUUAUUUAUUUUUUAAAAAUUAAAUCUAGAUAGUAGUGAAUUGAAAACUGACAGGAAUGUUCCCUGUGUAAUGUUUUCAGUAAACAAGUGAGAGACUGAAUUGCAAAAUUUAGGCCAAAUACAUGAUUAAAAAAAAAUCAACCAUGAAUUACAAACAUACAGAGAAAUAUACAGGGUUAUUUACUCAGGUAUGAAUUCAAAGUGAAUUUAAAGGGACACUAACGGCAGUGAUCUGGGUACAGGGUCCCCGGCUUUUUAAAAACAUUGCCUUUUAGUAGAUACAGCAAUGUUUGAAAUGCAGGGCUAAACACACCUCUUGUUGCUGUCUUCCUGACGGCCACUAGAGGGUGCUUCCAUUCCCAUAACCGACUGUUACAGGAUGUUGCAUGAAUUUGAUUGGACAGUUUAGCCCUCACUGUACAUGCACUUAUCCCAACGGGACGGAAAGCUAAGACGCUUUUGAGGGAGCAGGAGGCACCACUGUGUGAGCCUCAGAGUUGAAGAAUGGGAAGUAAAACUUUUUUUUAAAAUUAAAAAGAUAGGGAGGGCCCUCUAUCGUAAAUAGUGAGGAUAUAGUAGCAGGCAUAGGCAACCUUCGGCACUCCAGAUGUUUUGGACUACACCUCCCAUGAUGCUUUGCCAGCAUUAUGGGCAUAAGAGCAUUAUGGGGGAUGUAGUCCACAACAUCUGGAGUGCCGAAGGUUGCCUAUCCCUGUUUAGUUUCAGGAAUCCAGGUUUGCAUUCCUAACACUAUAUUGUUUCUUUAAGGCCACUGAAAACAUAGCGGAUCUUAAAUUUGAAACUCACUUUAGAGCAUACCCUGAUAGUAAUGAAAAUAAACAGGAUUAGUCGCUAAAGUAUGAAUUGCUGGGAAUUCACAUUAACCCCUUAAGAACCAAACUUCUGGAAUAAAAAGGGAAUCAUGACAUGUCACACGUCGUGUGUACCUAAGGGGUUAAACGUGAAAUUUAGGCAGAAAUAAGCAAAUUAAAAACCAAGGCUAACUUGCAGAUUGUAUCCUAAAAUUUAACAUUCACUUAAACUCCUGAUAAUUCUCACUAUAGUGAAUAAGUCAGACAUGGGAUUUGUGGUUUGGGUUGUGUAAAUUCAUUACAAAUAAACUGCUUUAUAUCUACAAUAGUAGCUCUGCAUUCACAGUAAUCAAAUUAAACUAAAAGGGAAAAGCUAAAACCAAUAGAUUUCUCAUUAAUAACGAUGAAAAUGAGUUCUGUCGUACCUGGACAUUUUAUCCUUUUAAGCCUUAUUUCAGAUUUUCCCUGUGUGACUUGCAUACCUCACAGAUUACAAAGUUUGAAAUGAAAUAUUUCGGCACAAAUCGUGAGAGGUGAAGUUUUGGUUUGUGUUACCUCAUUAGCCAUCUGUUUUCCAAUAUCAGACCUAAGUGGACAUUCUCAUGGCACAACCUGCAGGCCCUGGUCACCUGCUCCCAUAAACAGGUGGUUUAAUCAGUUUAAAAAAAAAAAUCAUUCAGGUGGUCAGAUCUUUGAACUUUGUAUGGCCUUGUGUGAUUCAUUUAGCAACUAGUGUGUACAGUUGGUUAUAGAGUCCAGGAAUGUGGAUUACACUUCUCACCAUGCAAAACCAGACUACUCA